CAGUAGCCGCGGUAAUACGUAGGGGGCAAGCGUUAUCCGGAAUUACUGGGUGUAAAGGGAGCGUAGACGGUUAAACAAGUCUGAAGUGAAAUGCCGGGGCUCAACCCCGGAGCUGCUUUGGGAACUGUAGAACUGGAGUGUCGGAGGGGUAAGCGGAAUUCCCAGUGUAGCGGUGAAAUGCGUAGAUAUUGGGAGGAACACCGGCGGCGAAGGCGGCUUACUGGACGACAACUGACGUUGAGGCUCGAAGGCGUGGGUAGCAAACAGGAUUAGAGACCCCAGUAGUCCCUGUCUCUUAUAC
rnacentral:rRNA from 1 species